rnacentral:lncRNA from 1 species
CUUUCUCUACAUCCUCUAUUAAGCAUAUCCAAAUAUCUUUCAAGAGGAUUGGAGAUCCUACUAUGUGUAUGAGGUGGAAGAGGAAUAUACGUCUACUGACUCAUGAUGAUAAAUAGGUUCUUAAGGUCCCAAAGCUCCCUGCUCUUUAGAGACAUUCUCUUCGAGCAUAACUUUCCUCCCACUGCUUCAUCUUGGUCAAAUAAUUUUUCAAGAAGAUAGCCUGUCAGAUCACAAUCAUAUUGUAAUCCCAUC